GACGAACGCUGGCGGUGUGCUUAACACAUGCAAGUCGAACGGUAAGGCCCUUUCGGGGGUACACGAGUGGCGAACGGGUGAGUAACACGUGAGUAACCUGCCCUCAUCUCUGGGAUAACAGUCGGAAACGGUUGCUAAUACUGGACAUGAGCUUGCAAGGCAUCUUGUGGGUUGGAAAGAUUUUUUUUGGUUGGGGAUGGACUCGCGGCCUAUCAGCUUGUUGGUGAGGUAGUGGCUCACCAAGGCUUCGACGGGUAGCCGGCCUGCGGGGGCGACCGGCCACAAUAGAGCUGAGGUAGGAGCCGAACUCCUACGGGAGGCAGCAGUGGGGAAUGUUGCACAAUGGAAAGAAGUCUGAUGCAGAAACGCCGCGUGCGGGAUGACGGCCUUCGGGUUGUAAACCGCUUUCAAUUGUGACGAAGCUUUUUUGUGACGGUAGCAGUAGAAGAAGCACCGGCUAACUACGUG
rnacentral:rRNA from 1 species